rnacentral:rRNA from 1 species
UACGUAGGGGGCUAGCGUUGUCCGGAAUUAUUGGGCGUAAAGAGCGUGUAGGCGGUUCGAUAUGUUUGCUGUGAAAGUCAGGGGCUCAACCCCUGAAUGCCGGUGAAAACUAUCGGACUAGAGUACGGAAGAGGCGAGUGGAAUUCCUGGUGUAGCGGUGAAAUGCGCAGAUAUCAGGAGGAACACCAAUUGCGAAGGCAGCUCGCUGGUACGUAACUGACGCUGAGACGCGAAAGCGUGGGGAGCAAACAGG